GAGGGUAUAGCUCAAGUGGUAGAGUGCAUGCCUGGCAUGUACGAGGUCCUGGAUUCAACCCCUAGUACCUCA
rnacentral:tRNA from 1 species